rnacentral:rRNA from 1 species
UACGGAGGGGGCUAGCGUUGUCCGGAAUUAUUGGGCGUAAAGAGCUUGUAGGCGGUUUGUCGCGUCUGCUGUGAAAUUUCGGGGCUCAACCCCGAACUUGCAGUGGGUACGGGCAGACUAGAGUGUGGUAGGGGAGACUGGAAUUCCUGGUGUAGCGGUGAAAUGCGCAGAUAUCAGGAGGAACACCGAUGGCGAAGGCAGGUCUCUGGGCCACUACUGACGCUGAGAAGCGAAAGCAUGGGGAGCGAACAGG